rnacentral:lncRNA from 1 species
AUACCAUAAAUAAUUUAGUAUUAGGAUUAAUUAAAAAAAAGGUUUACAUUGUCAUUACUUUUACACUAUAAUUAAAGAUAUAUAUUACAACACAUAUGAUUGAAACAAAAUUAUUAUCAAAUUACAAGAUAAAAUCAUGAAUUACGUAUGUAAUCAUGCCACAUGAAAGUUGCAUUUCUAUCUCUUGUAGCAUUCAUGUUGGCCGAAGAUAAAUCAAUUUUAGCAAGUGGCCUGCUAGUAUCUCCUUCUUCAUUAGUAAGCAUUUCUUAUGUAUGAAAGUCCUCGAACAAUCUAUUACUUGCAUUUUCUCAUCCAUAUCCUGUAACUAAAAAUUUGGAAAAAAAAUACCAUACAUCAAAUAUAAAUAAAAUUAAAGAAUGAAAUGUAAAAUGAGAUAAAGUAUCUAUAACAUUAUUACAUCCGACUUAAGAAGAGAAAUACUUCGGAUUCGGCAUAACAAAUUUGCAAUAACACAAAAAGAUCUUAUCAAGUAAAACAAAUUGCAACUUGUCCUUUUUGAACAAUCAUUAUUCACUACUAGAAAAAUGAGCUACCAUGACAGAAUUUUUGUGAUAGAUAUUAGAAAAUUAGUCAUUUGUCACAAAAAUAUGAUAGACACAUGACAAAAUUUUCGUACAUCAUAAAGCCAUGACAGAUUUGUGAUAGAGUUUUUAUAUAUCAGAUAAACAUGAUAGCAUAUUAAUAUUUAAUGAAACCGUGAGUUUCGGAUGGAAUUAAUUUGGGCAUGAAAUAACACCGUUUAACAGAUUUAAAAAGUUUUAAAAAUAAAAUAUUUAUUUAACAUUUAAACGCUAUCGUUUAAAUCUAUUGACUAAACCACAAAAAAAUUCUAAGUGUUGGCACCUUUGACUUAUCACUCCAUCGGCAAGGGCUGAGAAACCGAAGCAGUGAAACCCCUCAAAAUCUAGAAUUAACCUAUUUUAAUCUACAAAUUGGUUUUGAAAUAUGUUGCAUGGAAACCAAAAUCAUAGUAUAUGCUAUUGAAGGAGCCUUCGCGUCCUUAUUUUGAACCCAUUGUUUUUAGGCACAAAAUCACCACAUACGCUCAUUGUUGUGCCUUCGCGUCCACUAUUGAAGCCGUCGGUGUUACUACUUCUUUGUAUUGUUCAAUUGGCGUUGGAGAAGCCAUUCUGUAAUUGCUGAAUCCCUAGGUUUGUCGUCAAUUAACUUUUUUAAUUUUUAUUAUGAAUAAAUCAAUUGACCAUUAUAAAAUUAAUUGUUAGUUUUGUUGUUAUCUCCCUUAUUUGUUCAUAAUUUAUGCCCUUUUGUUUUGGGAGUUAUAUCAUGAACGGUUUAUCUUUAUUAUUUAUUUUUUUAAUUCUCGUUUGUUUCUGUUAUUAUAUUUUUUUAUUUUUUUAAUUCAAGAAGCUUAUACUUUGUCCUUUUAUUAAAUCUAGAAAUUGCUCAGUCAUUUAAUUUAGCAUGUCCUCUUCUUUUUUUUCAAAAAAAAAAUUAUUCUGAAUUGCAGGAUUUCACUGCCUUGUUCCCUUUCAAACUCGAUUUCUAACAUCAGGUUUGUUUAAUUUUUUACUUGCCUUUCUAUUCAAUUUUUAAAAAAUAUUUGCUGGCAAUGGUUUGUCUGAAUAUUGUUAUAUUAUGUAAUUUUUCAGUCAAAGCUUGCAUGUGUGUAAAGUGAUUUUGCUUGAUGAUAUAGCAUUUUUCAUUGACUAGUGUCUUUUAUUGGGAUGAAUCCGAAACUGUGGUCCAAUGGUGUUGACAUUUUUUUUUUCCUAAUGAUUGUGAGCUAGAUUUUGUGUAUUUUAUUGAGUUAAAAAGUGAGCCCCCCUUUUUCAGUUGUCUUUUUUAUGUUUGAAGGAAAUGGUAUCAUAUGGGGGCAAGUUUGGUCAUGUGGACCAAAUAAUGUUUAGUUGCUUAUAUAUAUAUAAUCUUGUGGUCCAUAAAAUGUUGGAUUGUUAGAAUUUUUUUUAAAUAAAUGUUAAAUGUAUGUGGGCCAAGUUAUUUAGGAUAUUAUUAGUUGGGUAUUGUUAGUCGGUGGUUUUCGUAAAUGAUGAUAGCAUGUUGGUAAAGUUAUAUUUGUUGCACAUGAUGACAAGUUUGGUUUUAAACUUAUUUAUUUCAUUAAAUUUAUAAACUGAAUAUUAAUAAUGUUUUGUUGCUUAGUUUAUUGAUAAUGGAAACCGUUUAUCAUUGCUGCCCAUUAGUGCAUUAUGUUGAAAUAUGUCUCAAUUAUAUGUCAGGUACUAGACAACAAAUGGAUAAAUCUUGGCUUAAAUAUGAUUGAUUGUCCAAUGAGUAUGAGGUUGGUGUGGAAAAAUUUAUUAAGACUACAGUUGAAAGUAAUCAAGAAAUUAGUGUUGUUAGGCGUCCAUGUGAUAAAUGUUGGAAUUUAGCAUUUCAUAGGCCUAAAGAAGUGAAAGAUCAUUUAAUUAUAUAGGGUUUUGAUAUGUCAUACAAAACAUGGGUUUGGAAUGGGGAAGAUAUUCGCAAAAAAUCUCCUGAUAAUAGAGGUUAUGAAAAUGACAGUGGAUAUAUGGAUUAUGAUGGUGGUAAUACUGUUGAAAUGGUUUAAGAUACUUUUAAGUAUUGUGAUAGUGAUCCUAAAGCAUUCAGAAAACUAUUAGAAGAUUAUGAGAAGCCUUUGUACCCUGAAUCAAACAAAUUUACCAAGUUAUCAACUUUAGUUAAAUUGUACAAUAUAAAGGGCAGAUAUGGGUGGUCUGAUAGUAGCUUUUCAGAUUUGUUGAGUGCUCUUUCUAACAUGUUACCGGAAGGAAAUGAAUUGCAUGUAUCAAUGUAUGAGGCCAAAAAGACAAUGAGUGCUUUAGGCUUAGAGUAUAUCAAAAGUCAUGCUUGCCCAAAUAAUUGUAUACUCUAUAGAAAGGAGUAUGAAAGCCUUUCUAAUUGUCCUACAUGCAGUGAAUCUAGGUGGAAGAAAAGGGAUGGUAGUGUUGCUGCUUAUAAGAAGGGGGUUUCUGCAAAAGUGUUAUGGUAUUUCCCUCUUAUACCUUGAUUUAGGCGUAUGUUUCAGUCUUCACAAACUGCCAAAGACUUGACUUGACAUGUAAAUUAGAGGGAAAUAGAUGGUAGGCUUCGACAUCCAACUGACUCACCAGCAUGGAAGUUAGUUGAUGAAAAAUGGCAUACCUUUGCAUUAGAGCCUAGAAAUCUGUGUCUUGCCCUAUCAGCUGAUGGCAUUAAUCCUCAUAGCUCUCUUAGUAGUAAGUAUAGUUGCUGGCCGAUUCUUCUUGUAACAUACAAUCUUUCACCCUAGUUGUGUAUGAAACGAAAAUUUAUGAUAUUAUCCUUAUGAAUUUUUAGUCCACAACAGUCUGGUAAUGAUAUUGAUGUGUACUUGGCACCACUAAUAAAGGACUUGCAAACUCUAUGAGAUGUUGGUGUGGAAGCUUAUGAUGCCUACAUAAAAGAGUUCUUCAAUUUACGGGUUGUGCUAUUGUGGACUAUAAAUGACUUUCCCGCUUAUGGGAAUUUGGCGGGUUGUACGAUCAAUGGUUAUUAUGCUUGUCUUUAUUACGGUGAAGAUAUGCCAAAAUGUAUACUUAAACACAGUAAAAAAAAUACUUAUAUUGGCUAUCGUUGUUGGCUUCCUGAUGAUCAUCUCUUUCGAACUCAAAAGCAACCUUUUAAUAAUAAACAUGAAAGAGAGCCUCCUUCGAAACCAUUGAAUGGCGAGGCCAUUUUUCGAACGAUGGAGAGUAUUGAAAACAAAUGGGGUAAAGUGAAAGAUAAAAUGCGCAAAAUAAAGGCGAGAAAAAGGAUGAUGAUGAUGAUCGUGCUUAGUGGAAGAAAAAAUCAACAUUCUUUAAGUUAGAGUAUUGGAAGUACUUGCUUAUUCGUCACCAAUUAGAUGUUAUGCACAUUGAAAAAAAUAUUUGUGAAAGCAUCUAUAAAACAUUACUAAAUAUACCGGGAAAGACCAAAGAUGGUAUUAAGUCGAGGUGGGAUCUAAAAGUUUUAAAGAUUAUGAAGAAAUUGGCACCUGAUGUUAAAGAAAAUAAUCGUACUUUUUUGCCUCCAACUUGUUACACCUUGACCAAAGAAGAAAAGAAAAGGUUUUGUAAAGCAUUAAAAAACAUAAAAGUUUCUAUAGGUUAUUCUUCAAACAUUAAGAACCUAGUGUCAAUGAAAGACUUAAAACUUCAAGAGUUAAAGUCUCAUCACUGUCAUGUUAAAUAUGUCAUUAUUAGAUUGUGCUUCUUCUUUAAUUCCUUAUACACAAUGGUUGUUGAUGUGACCAAACUUGACCAAAUGGAAGAAGACAUUGAGCUAACCUUAUGCUUGCUUGAAAAAUGUUUUCCAUUAUCCUUUUUUGACAUAAUGAUCCAUUUAACCAUCCAUUUAGUUAAUGAAGUUAGACUAUGUGGGUCGGUAUACUUAAGAUGGAUGUACCCAUUUGAAAGGAACAUGAAAGGCGUAAAGGCUUAUGUUCGAAACCGUAAUAACCCUGAGGGAUGCAUAGCUGAGAGUUACAUUGCCGAAGAGGCUUUGGAAUUUUGUGCAGAAUAUGUUUCAAACAUGCGUACAAUUGAGCUUCCUCCUGGACAUGUAGAAACCUCUUUAAUUAAUAAGCCUUUGCCUGGUGGAAAAUUUGAGCAAGUUGAUCAUUCCUUAAUUCAUCAAGCACACAUGUAUGUGUUGCAAAACACAGAAGAAGUUUAGCCAUUUAUUAGGUUUGUUAAUGUUUUACCUUUAAUUUGUACUUUUAUUGAAUUAUUUUUAAUGAAUUUGAACAAUAACUUAAUAUGUAUAUGUCAAAUAUGUUGUGAGCACAUUGAAUGGCUAAAGGGUCAUCAUUCACAAAAAGCCAAGAAUGAGAAAUGGUUGAGCAAUGAGCACAACUGCACCUUUUCAACUUGGCUUAAUAAGAAGGUUAAUAAUAUAUAUUCCAUUAUAUAUUCUUUUUAGUAAAUCUAUUGUCUUGUUUAUACAAUUAUUCAUUCAUUAUGGUUAUUAUUUUGUAGGUAUAUGAGAUGAUAGAUGAUGAUGAACAUGUCUCAGACACUUUGAGGUGGUUAUCUUAAGGACCCCGUCCUUUUGUAGUUAAGUACCUAGUGUCAUGACCCAACCUAGAACUGGCAAAAUAUUGUCUUCUUUGGGCCUUAACAAGGCCCGCACGGGUUUUUUUUUUUGGGCGGCCCAUACACCUCAAAACGCAUCUUACCAAUUAAGGUGUGGAUCACCCCUUAUAAACCCAGCAUAUCUCCCGUGCUUUGCCGAUGUGGGAUUUGCCUAGGGUGUUACAUACACCCCCGCUUGGGGAAUCAGCAUCCUCACUGAGGUUUAUCCCACCAUUGCUCAAGAGGACACACGUAGCCGCUUUGAUACCAUAAUGUCGUGACCCAACCCAGACCUGGUAAGAUAUUGUCCGCUUUGGGACUUAACAAGGCCCGCACAGUUUUGUUUCUAGGGUGCCCAUACACCCCAAAGACGCUGAGUCUAAAGACACGGACAAUAUCGUCCCCUCUUGAGCGAGGACGCUGAGUUCUCAAGGAGAGGUGUAUGUAACACCCCAAGCAAAUCUCACAUCGGCAAAGCACGGAAGAAAUGUUGGGUUUAUAAGAGGUGAUCCACACCUUAAUUGGUAAGACGCGUUUUAUGGUGUAUGGGCACCCCAGAAACAAACUCGUGCAGGCCUUGUUAAGGCCCAAAAUGCACAAUAUCUUAUUAGGUCUGGGUUGGGUCAUGACACCCAUGAUAUAACAUCAAUGGAUAUUGUUUCCAUACUCGAGUACGAGACAAACAAUGAGUUCAUCAAAAUAGUGGAGUUAGUCUUAUUGCAGCAACUUUACAAGUAGCUAGUGCCAAGGACAAAAAUUAUAUCCUUGGUGACAUGUCUUACUAUGAAGUUAUUAGCGAAAUAUGGGACUUUGACUACCAUAUGUUUAGAAUCCUUUUGUUCAAUUAUGAUUGGGUUCAAAAUAAUGGGGGUGUUAAAAUUGAUGAAUUUGGCUUCACUUUAGUGGACUUAAAUCGCUUGGGUCAUAAAUCAGACCCAUUUAUAUUGGUUUCACAAGCAACACAUGUCUUUUAUGUCACUGAUCAACUUGAUAAAAGAUGGUCAGUUGUAAGUCAUAUGCAUCGUAGAGGUGUUCCAAAAAAGACAAGAGGUGAAAAUAUAGAUAUCAUGAUGGAACACAAUCCUUUCACCAAUGGGUUACCAAAUAUUGAAAAUUUAAAUGAUGCGAACAGAUAUGCAAGAGAUGGCAAACAUGGCAUCUGGAUUGAUGCUUGAAAAAGAUGAUGGCAUUCACUGCUUGUAUGUUUUAUAAUAGUUUUGUGUUACAUUAUCUUUUAUUAUUAUAUGUUCCUUGUAUUGACUUUAGAUUAUUGUUUUUCAUUAUUUAUACUUUAUAUAAUGUUCUAAUACUAAAUGUGGAUUUAUUGCAAGAGUAACCUUAUGGAUAAAGGAAAGGGACUUGCUGAUGAAUACUUUAACGAGGAAAGUAUUGAUUAUUCAGGUAAUGAAGAGGUUCCUGAUUAAAUUAAUUCAAGUGAUGAUGAGGUUCUUGAUGAGUUUCCUAAUUCAGAUGAUGAAAAUGAUGUUCCAAAAAGUAGUUCCACUGCGAGAAGACAUCUAAAAACUCUGACAGGAUGAGGAUGAGGAUGAGUGGUGGGAAGCUUGUAGUAAGGUAUAAUGGGCUUGGUGUACCGUUGGCCCUGAAGCAACUGAAUUAGCAAGCUUUAUUGGGCUUUUGUGUCGUACUUCUAUUCUGAUUAUUAACCAAGAAUGGAGAAAGGUCACUCUAGAUUUAAAGAGCCGUUUGUGGAAGUUUAUUAAGGUAAAAUGAUUAUUUAUAUUUAUAUCUCAUAAUUGAAUAAUGUAUAUGUUAAACUAUUUGAUCAUUAUGCUAUGUAUUUUUCUCAGGAAUAUUUUAUUGUUCAUCCAAAUAAUAAGAAGCAAGUUUUUCAAGCACUUGGUAGUGCAUUCAAAAACUUUAAGUACUUGCUCACCAUAAAGUAUAUAAGCCACACAAGCACAAUCGUAAAAGGUUGAAGAGGCCACCUUUUCAGCACAGUAAUAUUCCUCAAAAUGUUUGGAAUAAAUUUGUAAAUUCUAAAUUAUCCACUGAGUUUGAGGUGAAUACUUUUAAAUGUUAAACAUUUAGGCAUUUCAUAAAACCAUCUUUAAAUCUAAUUAAAAACUGUUUUAUGUAAAGAAUUAGGCGUCAACAGCAAAAUAAGAGGGCUAAAAACAAGUGGAACCAUCACUUAAGUAGAAAAUGAUAUGUUGGAUUGCUUGAUGAAAUUGUAAGUAAUAUGAUACUAACUUGACCAUUCUUGUAUAGUUAUUGGUAUAGAGAUGGUUGGUUUGAUGAUGAUAAAUUGGUAAACCUUUUGGAUUAAUUUACUACUUAGAAUUUGUGGUUAGUUAAGGAUGCAUACCAGUUGUGAUAUUAUUAUUUUUUUAAACUACAAUGCUCGAAAACUGGACUUGUUGAAACUGAAGUUGACAAGAGUGUAGCAUGGAAGCGUGCUAGGAAGAUAAAAAACAAUGAAUAUGACCUUGAUGUUGAAUCAGUUGUGAAGAAGAUUGUAAGUAAUAGUAAGUUUCUUUUUUCAAUUAGGUUCUAUUGGAAAGAAUUUAAUAGUCAUCAAUAUGAUUAUUAUACAAUUAGGAUCCACUUGAGGAGAAAGCUAAAAAAAGAGAAUUUAAAGCUGAUGCAAGAAAUGAUAUUCUUGCACGUUCAAUUGGAAAGCUUGCCACUUCUGCACAUAUGCAGGGUGUUGGGAAAUUUAUAUCACCUAAGAUGUACUUUGACACCCCAAACAAUUCAUUUCAGAUGUGACAAGUGACUAAACAUACUAGAGAAGUUAGAUAAGUAAGAAGCAGAGUUGAGUGAUUUGAAGAAGAAGAUUAAAAAGCAACCUCGACAUUCAUAUGUUGGAAGCUAAAACUUUUUAUUAAAUGAGCAAACAAUUGAAGAUGAAGCUGAAGAAAUGACUGCUCGCAAUGAAGUCAAGGUGAUUGUUGUGUAUAGUUAAGUUAAAAAAAUGACUUAAACAUUUGAUUUUAAACGAUUUUAGCCUUAGUCAAAACCGUAAUUAUAAUAUUUUUUUGUUUGUCUUUUAGGCUUUUCAGUCAAUCGGCAUGACAUAGAUCACCUGCAAAGAAGAAGCAUGAAACACUGACAAAGAAAAGACAAUCACCAAAGAAGAGGAAGAAGUCACCAAAGAAGCAAGUGACUGUUGAUUGUCUUAGAGACAAACCAAAAAGUCCAAAAAAAAAAAAGACAAUCACUAAGGAAGAAAAAAGAAUAACCAAAGCAGCAAGUGAUUGUUGAUUGUCCUAGAGACAAAGCAAAAAGUCUUAAGAAAAGACAAUCACCAAAAAAGAAGAAAGAAUCACCAAAGCAGCAAGUGAUUGUUAAUUUUCCUAAAGACAAACCAGGCAGUCCAAUGAAAAGGCAAUCACUAAGAAAGAAGAAGGAAUCACCAAUGAAGCCUCACAAGAAAUCAAGAAUGGCUCUUGAUUGUCCAAGAGACAAACCAUGUAGUCCAAAGAAGAAGACAUCACCGAAAAAGCCUUAAGAGAAGCCACUGUCAAAAAGAAGAAUAAGAAAUUAUCAUACUGUGCAUAUGAACCGAGUUCCUGGGCUUGUAAUAUUUAGAAAUCUUUGUGAAAAGAACUUGCCUCAAAUGAGUUAUUACGUACCUUAUCAGUUGGAUGAAGAGGUAUACAAGCAUCCAAAGCACAUAUUGGUCUCAAUGAAUGUCAAUCAUUGAUUUCGAUGAAAGAGCUAGGAGCAAAUCAUAUGCAUCUAUAUAUCACGUAAGUUUACAAAAUUAUAAUUACUAGUUUAUUUUCAUUUUAAGUAAUUCUUGCUUCCUUUCUCUAUUUCUUUUUUUAAUGAUAUUUUUUAUUGGCAAUAUUGUCAUUAUUUCAUCAUCUUAAUUGCAUCAGGAUGUUGCAUGCGCACAUGGCAAAUGAUAUAGUAGGCAGACCAUUUGGGUUCAUACACAAAGGACUCGUAUCAUCAGCCCAUGAUAAGGAUGCCUUUGCUCAAGGGUAAGAAGGCCACAAUUUAUUGCCAAACGGUUGAACAAAACAAACAAAGGGCAAAUGAUUUUCAUGCCAUAUAACCUUGGGUAUAGUUCUAUUUACUUUCUAUUGAUGAUCAUUUACUAAAAUUGAUUCAUAAUUUCAAUUUCUUUGUGUAAUAGUUUCCAUUGGUUGUUAAUUGUAAUUGAUAUAACUACAAAGCAAGCAUUUUAUUUGGAUUCUGUGAACAACGAUUUGGGUGACGACAAUGAUGAAGGACAUAGUUACCAAGUAUGUUGAUAUUGUUUUUCUAAUAUAAUUUUAUAUAUCAUGUUUAUUUACUAACUGCAUGUAUUGUAAUGUAGUGGGAUUUCAAUACAUGUUGCGAUGGCUGGUAAAAAAAGAGGUGAAACCACAUAUCACAAAAGUUUUGGUAAGCAAUCAUGACUUGUUAAUAUUUAAUCACUUGAAAGAAUUCAUAUGCUUAUGUAUUAAUGAUUAUCUUGUUGAUGAUAUAGUCCCCAAAUCAACCAAGGAGUACUGAGUGUGGAUACUAUAUGCUGAGGUUUAUAAAAGACAUAAUUGCAUACCCGAGUUUACUUCUCCAUGAUGUAAGUACACAUUCUUGCAGAUGCAUUGUAUGAUUACUUCACUUAAUACCUUUAACUAUAUAUAGUUUACUUUAGUCUGACAUGUGAUCAUCAUUUGACAGUUUAAAGGGAAAUGUGAAUACCUUCAAAGUGAGCUUGAUGAAGUGCGUCUCGAGUAUGCUUCAUUUGUGUCUGAGCUGAUAGUAUGAGCAAUGGAGUUAAUGAUGUGUAGCUUUCUAAAGUUCUAAUUAUUGGUGGUAUUAUGGUAGUUUUUUAAAUUUCUAAGUGGUAGUGAAUGUGAUAAAGUCUUUAUGGAAUUUCAAAUUCCUUGUUACUAAAAGAUGAUAUUGUUUUGUUCCAAAACUAAGAUGUUUAUCAGCCUAGUAGUGUAAGAUCUUGAUCAACCUAACAGUGUUUCAGAUGAUAUAUAGUGUUGUGAUGUUUUUGUAUGCUGGUAAUGAUCCAAAUGGUAGUGUUGGGAAUUAUUGUGAUAAUUGAAUAGAUGAAGUUUUGACAAUAUUAUGGUUAUUUUAAGUGAUGUUUUGAUGAUAUUGUUGAGAUAAUUUGGAUGUAUUGAUUUUAUACAUAUUUUGAUUUUUAAAUUUCAAUGGAAUUUAUAAAAUAAUAAUAUUAAAAAUAUUAUUUAAUAAUAUUAUUAUUUAAAAUAUUAAAAAAUAUUUUCUAAUUCAAAAAAUAUAAAUAUUAUUUUAAAAAAAUUCUCAUCGUGACACUAUAUUAACAUCAUAAAGCUGCGACACAUAAUUACCCGUCAUAAUUUAAAAUUGAAUUCAUAACACCCGCCAAAAGUUUUUUCACAAUAAAACAAAUUUACCACCAAAAUAUUAAAACGACAUCGCUUUUUUUGUGACACCUUUGUGAUAGCUAUAAGCUGUCAUAAACUCAUGUGAUAGAUAAAUUAUUAUCACGGAUUUAUCACAGGGGCUACAAUGACAGAUAGAAACUCUAUCAUAAAGAGUGUCGGAUGACAUAUAUUCUCUGUCAUGGUAGCCCAUUUUUCUAGUAGUGAUUAGCUAUGCUUUUAAGUUUAAAAAACAAAAUCAUGAAACUGCACUUAUAUUAAUCUCACAUUCAAUAUAAUGUGUACAAUCCCCAUAUUGCACCAUAUAUGGUGCUUGCUCUUUACAUAAUAAGAGCUAAAAAAUAAUAAACUGCCUUAAUUAAGAGACUAGAAAUGAAAGAAUAUGUUAAUGGCAGUUAAGCUAAGCUGAGAACUGAUGACUGUGGUGGUUAUUGGAUGUUGAUGUUGCCACAAAGAUAAGAAUUCAUAAUGGAUGGAGGAAAAAAAAUACCCCAUUUGCUGAGAUGAUUCCAUGGUUGUUAAACAUAGCCAAAAAACGAACAGAGACAGAAAGAGAAUCCAACUCAAUACUUAAAUUUUGGCUUAUUCAUGACUAUCAUCUAAAUAAAUUAAGAAAAAGUUUUAUCAUAAUUCUAGAAUUACCCAUAUUCCACUCUUUACUUUGGCAAAGCUUAUAUGUUUUUGGCUUUAUGGUGAAAAAGUUUGGUGAAGAAAUGAAAAGUGGCUAUUGAAUUUCUUUAACAAGGUACUCAUUUUAACUUAAAACUCAUUUCACAGUCAUAUUUGUCGAUUAUUACUCUCAUAGGCCUGCAUUGGAUAACAAUAAUUUCAAUUAUGAUUGAAUUUUGUAACCAAAACAAAAAAAAAUUAAGAGAAAAAUCCUAGAUAAAAAUUUUAGUGAAGAAACAAAAGAAACAGAAUUAUAUUUAAAACAAGGACAAGGCAAUCCUAGAUAAGAACCCAUAGAUAAAAUAUUGAAGAUAAACACCAUGCCACAAACAAUUCAAAACAAGGACAAGGCAACAAAAAGACUGAAAAGGGCAAAAAUUAUUUUGACAUGCUAGUAAGAGUUCUACAAGACAAUUGAAAACAAGUGGUACAUGGAAGAAAUUUCCCAAAAACCAUAUCACAGAGAGAACUGUAUAUCACCGAAACCAAAUGGUGAAAAUUAGUAAUCAAAACCAAAUGGAAUUCUUCAAAAAUUAUAUCUUAAACAAAAUUCUCCUAAGCAAGCAGAGAAACACAAGUAUGAGCAUAGCAUAAAAAGAGAACAUAGUCAGAAUCCAAUUUAAAAGAAAACAACGAUGAAGAGAACAACAGAUUUGAGAGGCAGCAACAAUAAUGGAGAGAGAACUCACAGAUUUAGCAACGAUGAAGCGAGUAGCAGCAGCGCAAAGAGAGAGCAGCAGAAGCGAGAGAGAGAUAGCAGUAGCACAGAGGAAGAUCAACAGCACUGGAGCAGUGAAGAAGAGAGAAUAACAACACCUACCAACGAUGGAGAGAAAGAGCGAUUAGAUCUGUGAUAAGGGAGAGUGAUUGGGAAGAUCGCGAUAAGAUUUUAGGCGAGAGAAAUAGACGGUCAUGGAUAAACCUUGGAUUCUCUGUUUUGUGAUUUAUUUUUAACUUUAUAUUUGUAAUUCAUUGAGAACAAGUUAUACACGUUCUCAAAUUUAUAACUAUAAAAGAAGAUAUGAAUUAUUUGUUUUACAAUUUGUUUUUUGAAUUUCGGCCAUCGAACGCGUAUUAACUUAGAUUGAUUAAAGGAAAAUGAAAACAGCGCCCAUAAAACAUUACCGAACAGGCCCUUAGUUUCUUUAUUAUUUUUCCUUUUACCUUCUAGUAACUGAUUGGAGAUUGAGUGCAGGAUGAUGAUUUUAGAGUGGAAUUUUUGGUGAUUGGCUAGUGGAUUGAAUGGGCGUGUUUGGUUGCAAGAGAAAUUUCAUUGCCUGGCGGGAGGCCAAAGAGGGUGAUAA